UACGUAGGGUGCAAGCGUUAAUCGGAAUUACUGGGCGUAAAGCGUGUGUAGGCGGUCUCAUAAGUCGGAUGUGAAAGCCCCGGGCUCAACCCGGGAAGUGCAUUCGAAACUGCGAGGCUAGAGUAUCGGAGAGGUUGGUGGAAUUCUCGGUGUAGAGGUGAAAUUCGUAGAUAUCGAGAGGAACACCGGUGGCGAAGGCGGCCAACUGGACGAAUACUGACGCUGAGACACGAAAGCGUGGGGAGCAAACAGG
rnacentral:rRNA from 1 species